CUCCAGCAGACCCUCCCUCCCAGACCCUCCUACUUCCUGGACAGCAGUUGAAACAUGGAUGCUGUCCAGGAAGUAGGAGGGUCUGGGAGGGAGGGUCUGCUGGAG